rnacentral:rRNA from 1 species
GACGAACGCUGGCGGCGUGCUUAACACAUGCAAGUCGAACGGUGAACCUCUUCGGAGGGAUCAGUGGCGAACGGGUGAGUAACACGUGGGCAACCUGCCCCCGGCUCUGGGAUAACUCCAAGAAAUUGGGGCUAAUACCGGAUGUUCACCGCUUCCCGCAUGGGUGGUGGUGGAAAGGGUUUCCGGCUGGGGAUGGGCCCGCGGCCUAUCAGCUUGUUGGUGGGGUAGUGGCCUACCAAGGCGACGACGGGUAGCCGGCCUGAGAGGGUGACCGGCCACACUGGGACUGAGACACGGCCCAGACUCCUACGGGAGGCAGCAGUGGGGAAUAUUGCGCAAUGGGCGGAAGCCUGACGCAGCGACGCCGCGUGGGGGAUGACGGCCUUCGGGUUGUAAACCUCUUUCAGCAGGGACGAAGCGCAAGUGACGGUAAUGGGUAAAGAAGCACCGGCUAACUACGUG